GGGUUGUGAGGUUAAGCGACUAAGCGUACACGGUGGAUGCCCUGGCAGUCAGAGGCGAUGAAGGACGUGCUAAUCUGCGAUAAGCGCCGGUAAGGUGAUAUGAACCGUUAUAACCGGCGAUUUCCGAAUGGGGAAACCCAGUGUGACUCGUCACACUAUCAUUAACUGAAUCCAUAGGUUAAUGAGGCGAACCGGGGGAACUGAAACAUCUAAGUACCCCGAGGAAAAGAAAUCAACCGAGAUUCCCCCAGUAGCGGCGAGCGAACGGGGAGGAGCCCAGAGCCUGAAUCAGCAUGUGUGUUAGUGGAAGCGUCUGGAAAGGCGCGCGAUACAGGGUGACAGCCCCGUACACAAAAGCGCAUGUGCUGUGAGCUCGAUGAGUAGGGCGGGACACGUGGUAUCCUGUCUGAAUAUGGGGGGACCAUCCUCCAAGGCUAAAUACUCCUGACUGACCGAUAGUGAACCAGUACCGUGAGGGAAAGGCGAAAAGAACCCCGGCGAGGGGAGUGAAAAAGAACCUGAAACCGUGUACGUACAAGCAGUGGGAGCACCCUUUGGGGUGUGACUGCGUACCUUUUGUAUAAUGGGUCAGCGACUUAUAUUCUGUAGCAAGGUUAACCGAAUAGGGGAGCCGGAGGGAAACCGAGUCUUAACCGGGCGUUAAGUUGCAGGGUAUAGACCCGAAACCCGGUGAUCUAGCCAUGGGCAGGUUGAAGGUUGGGUAACACUAACUGGAGGACCGAACCGACUAAUGUUGAAAAAUUAGCGGAUGACCUGUGGCUGGGGGUGAAAGGCCAAUCAAACCGGGAGAUAGCUGGUUCUCCCCGAAAGCUAUUUAGGUAGCGCCUCGUGAAUUCAUCUCCGGGGGUAGAGCACUGUUUCGGCUAGGGGGCCAUCCCGGCUUACCAACCCGAUGCAAACUGCGAAUACCGGAGAAUGUUAUCACGGGAGACACACGGCGGGUGCUAACGUCCGUCGUGAAGAGGGAAACAACCCAGACCGCCAGCUAAGGUCCCAAAGUCAUGGUUAAGUGGGAAACGAUGUGGGAAGGCCCAGACAGCCAGGAUGUUGGCUUAGAAGCAGCCAUCAUUUAAAGAAAGCGUAAUAGCUCACUGGUCGAGUCGGCCUGCGCGGAAGAUGUAACGGGGCUAAACCAUGCACCGAAGCUGCGGCAGCGAACGUAUCACUUAAAGCGAUUCAGCGGGUUACGAUUGACGGAGCGAAGCGACGUCAAAGCGUAUACAAAGUCGAGUCGGUUUAAGGAUACGUUCGUUGGGUAGGGGAGCGUUCUGUAAGCCUGUGAAGGUGGCCUGUGAGGGUUGCU
rnacentral:rRNA from 1 species